rnacentral:rRNA from 1 species
AGCAGUAGCCACGGUAAUACGAAGGGGGCUAGCGUUGCUCGGAAUCACUGGGCGUAAAGGGUGCGUAGGCGGGUCUUUAAGUCAGGGGUGAAAUCCUGGAGCUCAACUCCAGAACUGCCUUUGAUACUGAAGAUCUUGAGUUCGGGAGAGGUGAGUGGAACUGCGAGUGUAGAGGUGAAAUUCGUAGAUAUUCGCAAGAACACCAGUGGCGAAGGCGGCUCACUGGCCCGAUACUGACGCUGAGGCACGAAAGCGUGGGGAGCGAACAGGAUUAGAUACCCGUGUAGUCCCUGUCUCUUAUAU